rnacentral:ncRNA from 2 species
AAACAUAGACAGUCUCCGGGCAAACGGAAAGAGGGUGCAAAUCCCUCGUGGUCCCGCCUCUGUAACUGGGGACGAAACCCGAUCGAGCCACUGUCCGUCAGGAUGGGAAGGCGCGGGGAGUAGAAAGAUCCAGAAGCCAGAAGACGUGCCCGGUGAUCGGCCUUGCU